UACGAAGGGGGCUAGCGUUGCUCGGAAUCACUGGGCGUAAAGCGCACGUAGGCGGCUUUUUAAGUCAGGGGUGAAAUCCUGGAGCUCAACUCCAGAACUGCCUUUGAUACUGAGAAGCUUGAGUCCGGGAGAGGUGAGUGGAACUGCGAGUGUAGAGGUGAAAUUCGUAGAUAUUCGCAAGAACACCAGUGGCGAAGGCGGUCCCCUGGGCCGGAACUGACGCUGAGGCGCGAAAGCGUGGGUAGCAAACGGG
rnacentral:rRNA from 1 species